rnacentral:rRNA from 1 species
UGCGUAGGUGGCAGUGCAAGUCAGAUGUGAAAGGCCGGGGCUCAACCCCGGAGCUGCAUUUGAAACUGCAUAGCUAGAGUACAGGAGAGGCAGGCGGAAUUCCUAGUGUAGCGGUGAAAUGCGUAGAUAUUAGGAGGAACACCGGUGGCGAAGGCGGGUCUCUGGGCCACUACUGACGCUGAGGAGCGAAAGCAUGGGGAGCGAACA